CCUACGGGAGGCAGCAGUGAGGAAUAUUGGUCAAUGGACGAGAGUCUGAACCAGCCAAGUAGCGUGAAGGAUGACUGCCCUAUGGGUUGUAAACUUCUUUUAUAUGGGAAUAAAAUGUUCCACGUGUGGGAUUUUGUAUGUACCAUAUGAAUAAGGAUCGGCUAACUCCGUGCCAGCCGCCGCGGUAAUACGGAGGAUCCGAGCGUUAUCCGGAUUUAUUGGGUUUAACGGGAGCGUAGGUGGAUUGUUAAGUCAGUUGUGAAAGUUUGCGGCUCAACCGUAAAAUUGCAGUUGAAACUGGCAGUCUUGAGUACAGUAGAGGUGGGCGGAAUUCGUGGUGUAGCGGUGAAAUGCUUAGAUAUCACGAAGAACUCCGAUUGCGAAGGCAGCUCACUGGACUGCAACUGACACUGAGGCUCGAAAGUGUGGGUAUCAAACAGGAUUAGAUACCCGAGUAGUC
rnacentral:rRNA from 1 species